AGGGAGCCUGAGAGACGGCUACCACAUCUAAGGAAGGCAGCAGGCGCGCAAAUUACCCAAUUCUAACAGUUUGAGAGAGGUAGUAACAAGAAAUAACAAUACAAGGCAAUUAAAAUGCUUUGUAAUUGGAAUGAUAGAAAUUUAAACCCUUUUUAAAGUAUCAAUUGGAGGGCAAGUCUGGUGCCAGCAGCCGCGGUAAUUCCAGCUCCAAUAGCGUAUAUUAAAAUUGUUGCAGUUAAAAAGCUCGUAGUUGAAGUUCUGCUAAAAGUAACCGGUCUGCUUUUAAUAAAAGUGGUAUCUUGGUGUGUAUUUAGCAAUGAUGUCCUUUGAAGUGUUUUUUACUUUAUUGUAAUAAAGCAUAUUCAGGACUUUUACUUUGAGAAAAUUAGAGUGUUUCUAGCAGGCCGACGCUUUGAAUACUGCAGCAUGGAAUAAUAAGAUAGGAUUUUAGUUCUACAUUAUUGGUUUUAAGAGCUAAAUUAAUGAUUGAUAGGGACAGUUGGGGGCAUUCGUAUUUAAA
rnacentral:rRNA from 1 species